rnacentral:misc_RNA from 1 species
UUUCCGUAGGUGAACCUGCGGAAGGAUCAUUACCACACCAACCAAAACUUUUUUUUGAAAUAAGCGAUAGAGAGAAAUUUAUUUUUUUCUAUUGCUUAAUUCAAUUAAGUCCCAGCGGAAUAUUUUUUUUAAAAAUCAAGUCAAAUGGAUUAAAGACUUUAAAAUAUUUUCCCCGCUUCAUGCGGUAAUUUUAUUUCAAUAGAAAUAUUGGAAAAAAAUUGAAAACCAACGACAAUAAUUUUUUUGCAAGUUAAGUCAUGCGAAAAAAAAAAAUAAAGCCAAAACACUUUCAGCAACGGAUGUCUUGGCUCCC